AUGGCGCCCGUACUACCUGCGCCGGCGGCGGCGGCGGCUCCUCCCACCUUCUGCCGCGUCUCUCUCCCGGCCCGCAGCGCCUUCCCCUCCUCCCCCGCCAAAAGCCUUCGCAGGUUUGCGGCCAGGAGCAGCGGCGGCGGCGGCCGUCCCGAGCCCAAAGCAGGUGAUGACGAGAGCAAGGCCGUCCUUGACGCCUUCUUCCUCGGGAAGGCCUUGGCGGAGGCGCUGACGGAGAGGGCCGAGUCGGUGGUGGGCGAGGUAUUCAGCGUCGUCGGGCAGUGGCAGGCGGAGCAGCAGAAGCAGGUCCAGGAAUUCCAGGAGGAAGUAGUUCAGAGAGCCCAAAAGGCUAAGGAAAGAGCUGCUGAGGAGGUCGUUGAUGAUAAGGGACCAAAGACUCUAAAGGGACCUUCAACAACAAUCGUGACGCCUGCACCUAUGUCUCCUCCUUCUCCUAAUAUUCCCACACAGGCAGAACAGUUAUAA
rnacentral:rRNA from 1 species